rnacentral:lncRNA from 1 species
CUAGAAUGUGUGUUCUGUCAUAAACAAUGGCUUCGUCGUGCGAAUCGACGAGAUCAUGUUACAUGUAACCGAUCUUAGCUGUAGAAACAGUUGGUGCGACCUCGAUAAAAUCUUUAUCAAUUUAAUAUAAGCGAUAAAUAUCCAUGACUACAAUGAGGCCGUUAGUUUUCUCGUUUGAAUUGUUUUACAUUGUCUUAUCGGGGCCUUUUAUAGCUGACUAUGCGGUAUGGGCUUUGCUCAUUGUUGAAGGCCGUACGGUGACCUAUAGUUGUUAAUGUCUGUGUCAUUUUGGUCUUUUGUGGAUAGUUGUCUCAUUGGCAAUCAUACCACAUCUUCUUUUUUAUAUAUUGAA